AGUCAAGUUCUACUCAUCGUACUCAUUGCAGGACUGAGACUGGAUUUCUAGUUGGUGUCUAAGACCUCCAUGUGAUGAGUGCCAUCUGCAGAAUACCACCACUUCCUCAAGAUCAGUUCUAGGCUUGCCCGUUCAGCUGAUGAACUCAGCCUUCCUCACUGACUGAAUGAAUGAAAAAGAAGCACGAUUCGAUCAGUUCCAAGCAGUGAUGGUAUGAGUAAUUCUGAAAUUCCCAAGCACUGCUAUGAAGCCUGCAAGCACAAAAGCACAAUGUUUGGUUAAAAAAUAUUCAUGUGGCUUUCUGCAUACACUCAUGUAUGAAGCUGAAAACCAGAAGUGCGGUGCCAGACGCUAAUAAAGCAAAAGUAAUCGGUGAAGUCCCAAACAGAAGUGAGGAAGCUGUCUCCCGCAGACCACAGUUCCUUCGUGAACAGGAACAGUAGAUCCAACUGGAGUUCCACCUGAAAGCAUUUGUGCAAGUAAAGAGCACUGUUGAGUUCCGGCAGCAAUUCAGAUUGGUUUUCAGAAGUGCCAGAGCACCUAGGAAGGCACCUAGUCAUGGAACAGGCCUGCACUGUGGGCAGAGUGGGCAAGUAGCAACAGGAUGACUGUGGUGAGCUUCGCAGGCACACAACAGUACAGACUGGAGGGAUAAGAUCUCCAUGAGGACCUGGAGUCUGCUUCUGCAAGCAUCCCAAGUGAUAUGUAAACCUUUCACUGCUGAAGAACUCAGCCUCAGCCCAGAGAGGGUUGAGGCACCACAAAAAAGACACAAGAGAAGGAGAGAGGAAAGAUGAGAACAAAAGAUAGAAAAGCUGAGGUGCGGAGCAUAAGAGUGUCUUGCUCAAGAUUGUGCAUGCUUGUGUCAGAGCAGAGAGGACUUCAGUGUUUUCACUGUGGGAAGACGCUCUGUGAAGCAUCCUGUAUAUCCAGUCUGGUGCACAUCCUCAUCCCAGCCCUGCUCCACUUUCAUCUCCAGCUCCAUUGUGUGCUCCACAAGGUCUCCUACCCAAAACGCCAAGGGGACCAGAACCAGAGCCCCACAAGUUGCUCACCUGCCUUACAGUGUGGACACGACCCAAAUCUUCAGACUCGUAAGCAUGCUUUCUGUAGUCUGAGCAUUGCCCUCCUUCCACUGUAAAUGAGGACCCUUGGGCUGAAAUGGAGCAGUACAAACUAUAACAAAUCUUCUGUCAGUGCACAUCUUUUCUAGGAGAAAUGAAUGCAGAUGUUUCAUUCAAUCACAACUGCAUAAAAGAACAAACUUUCAUAGUCAAGCGCUCAAAUGUUCAGAGAUGCCAGCAAGCUCUCAGAACAUUCACUGUGCAUAUGCAUGAUGUAGAAUGUUAAUUAUGUGAUCCCAUACUGUUUCCUUCCACAGGACACCUACCUUAAGCGUACAGGAUAAUGGUACUCCUUUAAUGAGCAGCUAUGUGAUUUUUUGCUUUCACAUUGUGGUUCCAUGUGUGGCCACGUGCUUUCUUUUCUACACACUGUUCAAUCUCAGCUCUCAAGGCAGUGAUUAAUGCUCUCAAGGACUUCUCCAUGGCAACAAUCAAUCUGUCAUUCCCUAAUUUUCAAGUGCUUUACUUUGCAACAUUAACAGGGUUUUCUGUUAAAUUGAUAUGUGUUGUGCCCUAUAUUUUUAAUACUAGGCUUUGCUCCGGGAUGGAAACCUUAAAUGUAUUUGUCUUCUUUGAUUUCAAAGAUUGCUCAGGUAGUAGUAGCAGGAUACUUUCCACUCCAUAUGAUGUGGUUGCCUGUGAUAAUUGGGAGACACAUUUGGUGAUGCAAAAGGGACAUUUCUGUCCUAUACUUCUAUUUAGGAUUAGUAAUAAAUGAUUGUAUACGACAAAAAUGCGGUAAUUUCCAAGACUGUUGGGGAAAAGAAGCCAGGACAUCCACACAGAAAAAAAUGGGAACACUAAAAAGCAGUUGUCCUUUAAAUAAUAAAGUCUAUAACCAGCCGUGUGUCCUCAACCAGAGUCCUAGAGUCCUGGAUUGCUCCAUCAUCAACCACUAUGCAAGAUUGGUUUCUAUUUUCAUUGCUUAGAGGUAACCAUCAACAGAUGGUGUUUUGAAACACUCAUGAUUUUGGCUAAUAGAGUUACUGUUGCCAAGUGUCCUGUCCUCCAAGUAGUGAUUAGAUUUACUAUUAUUAAUAAAUAGUACAUCAUAAUGAUACAAACAGUCCAAACCCUGAAGUCCUUAGUCCUAAGCAACUCCUACACCCUUCAAUACUUUGUUCUCAUAUCUUUGGAUGACUAAGUGUUUUACUGAACACAGCCAAGUCCUCCCUUCUGAUCUCUGCUAGCAAUCACUAUUUUUUUAAUACAGAUUCUCAUGGCAUCCUCCGCAUAAGCUCUCACCAAUGGGAAUUCCAUAUGGUGGUUAGAACAGAAUUUGCUCAUGCAGGACUCAGCCAUAGGAACUUUAAUCAAAACUUUCAUUAAAUACCCAGAGCAGAGGAGCCAAAAACUCUGGCCUACUUCACACAUUCAUAUCUAGUUGGCCCUUUCCAAUUCCACAGAACUCAGGUGUUCAUUUGAAAGGAAAAGUAAAAACCCAUAAACUUCUGUACAUGGCCAGAAGGCGAGCCAGUGACUUCUACCUGAGCAAAUAUGUGCAGUAUAAGGCCAAUCCUUGACAAUAAAUGAAUUUCUUGUACUACUGACUGUUGGGAAACAGUACAGAGUACAUUGAGAAAACAGCAGAAGGUGAGAGAAAAUCCAAUUUAAGGCCAGACUUCAAAAAAGAGAAGAGUAUAACCCUGAGAGUCACUAUUCUUUAAGAGUAACUCCUACACUCAGUGAAAUUAAGGGCAAUGCUGCAAGGAAAAAAAUGUGCUCAGUGUUACCCUGGAGGAUCAGGGAACAGCAAAGUGAAGGGGAAAUAUAUGAGACAGGAGUGACAGGUGCAAUACGAGAGUAUAAUUAAGGAAAUCAUAUUUCAGGACUGGAGUAUGAUAUUAUUCCAAAUUGAGAGACUGAGCUACGGAAAAAUAUAAAUGACUUGCAAGGUUGUGAAGGUCCUAAGAGGGCAUGAAGCUCCCCAUAAUCAGCAACAUGAUGCAACCAGGAUAUAUCGUCCCUCUCCCAAGGAAAGCAAUGCAAUUUAAAUUCUAUCAUAUUUAGCAUAUAAAAUACUUUUAGGCAACUGCUUAAAUAAAGAACUGCCUGCUAUUACAUUCCUUGAUUGCUCUUGGUGACCAGGUUAGGCAUACUGCCAUUUCUUACAGCACUGCUUCUACCUAAAUUCUGACUUUGAUCAUACAGACCAAUCUCACUGGCAGUUUUGCCAGAGAAAGGUCUGAUGAUUUCAAAACUUGGCCCAAAACUUCAGAGCAGAAGUGGCGGUAAACAUUAGUCACAGUAACAAACUAAUUUGUUUUCCAUAUGGCAUUUUCAAUGGAGUGUGGAAGAUUCACAAGUGAAAUAAUAAUUACAAAUGAGGAAUGCUUAAAAAAAAUCUUAUCCCUGUGCAUCAGUUAAAAGGAUUUUGUAAUUAAGUCAAUAGUUGAUUAUGUUGGAGAUGACAUUGGCAGCCAGCUCCUACUUUGUGGGGCUUUGUUCUUAGGGACAGAGCGUUGUCAGGGGCAGUAAAAUUCCCUCAUCUCUUCAGCCCUGGGUGCUGCUGAGAUGGAAGAGAGGAGAGAGGAGUGUUUGAUCCCCUUUGGAAAAUCAGGUGGUGAAUAUUUUCUUAAUAACGUUGUUGUUUGUAGAAGAAAAUUUUGCUCUGCAAGAUGAAGGGUCAAUAUUACUGGUGAAGCCAAGUCAAAGACAGAUGCUUAAAGAUACUCUGGCGGAGCUCAAAGCCAGCUCAGGGCUGGAAAUUAUGCUGCAGGGCAAAACAGAAUUAGCUUCAUGAGAUCUCAGCCCUAAGGGAACAAAACCCGGAACAGACUACUCUCCUUCCAAACUAUUGUUAUGGAAAAAGAAAAAAAGAAAAAAAAGGGGGAAGGAUAUAUAUAGAAAUACAUAUACAAUAAGGAUGGAGCCAAGAAUUUGUUAGCAGAUUAAUAUUUUGAAAGCCAGGAAUCUGAUAGUCCAAUUAAUAUUUUGAAAGUCUAAUAUUCCAAAAUUCCUAAUUAAUGUUAAUUAUAGACUCAUCAAUAAUGCAAUUUAAAUUAUUAUACCAAAAAGAAAAAAAAAAAAAAAAGCUUUCCUAGCCUUUACCCCUUUUCUCUGGUGUGAUGUGACUUUCUGCACUUAAGAUGGGAAGAAAUAUGAGACUUGUUUGCUCAUACUCACUUGCAAGCAAAGUAUUUUACAACUUUCACUCAAUCAUUCAUUUUCUAUCUCACAAAUCAGCCUAAGGACAGUUCUCCUUUCUGAAUUUCACUGCCAGUCAAUCACAGGGAACUUGCAGAAGUGAAUGGUACUACUUCCACAGACAGCCGAGCGUGUGGAAAGAUUUAGACUUCAUGAGUUAUUUUUUGAUUUGUAGUAGAAAUGCUGAUUGUACGUUUAUUUUUUAAAUGCAACUCGGGUCCUAUCCGUUCAAAUCUUUAUACAAAUUUGGAUUACUCUUCUUAUCUCUUAAUGGCUGUCUAGAAUAAGCACAGAGCCCUGUUCUGAAUGCAGAGAAUCCCGAGUGUAGCAGAGUGAGGCUGAAUUAAUGAAAUGACCCUCGCUGAAAGACAGCUCAGGCCUGAAGCAUCACAUCCCGCGGGGAAAUGUCCACUUCUAUCACAUUUGCUGUUCAGGGACCUCAAAACAUUUUAAGGGUAUGAUUUUUCAGAAGGGCCUCCAGAGAAUAUAAUUCUUCCUUCUCUCACUCAAGUCCUUUUGGGAAAUGUCAGAGAAAUACUAGAACUUUUUUGCCAAGAUUAUUACAGAGCAUGCCAUAGGCCACAUUUUGUUGAAUAUGGAGGAACAGACUGUUUUUGCAGAUACGUCCACUCAGUAGGCAGGUGUGAGAGAUGGCCAAGUCUCUUCCUCCAAGAUUUCAUAUGAUUUAUGUAUUGGUUCUUCUGCUGGGAUAGUAUCAAUUCACAUCUCUUUUUCCUGUGUGCUGCUUUUUUUGACAUUGAGAAACCCAAGGCAGACACCAGGAAGACAUGACACUGCUUAUUAUAGAAUCAUAGAAUCAUUAAGUUUGGGAAAAACCACUAAGAUCAUCCAGUCCAACCAUCAGUCCACC